rnacentral:rRNA from 1 species
AUGAACGCUAGCUACAGGCUUAACACAUGCAAGUCGAGGGGCAUCAGGAAGAAAGCUUGCUUUCUUUGCUGGCGACCGGCGCACGGGUGAGUAACACGUAUCCAACCUGCCCUUUACUCGGGGAUAGCCUUUCGAAAGAAAGAUUAAUACCCGAUGGCAUAAUGAUUCCGCAUGGUUUCAUUAUUAAAGGAUUCCGGUAAAGGAUGGGGAUGCGUUCCAUUAGGUUGUUGGUGAGGUAACGGCUCACCAAGCCUUCGAUGGAUAGGGGUUCUGAGAGGAAGGUCCCCCACAUUGGAACUGAGACACGGUCCAAACUCCUACGGGAGGCAGCAGUGAGGAAUAUUGGUCAAUGGGCGCUAGCCUGAACCAGCCAAGUAGCGUGAAGGAUGAAGGCUCUAUGGGUCGUAAACUUCUUUUAUAUAAGAAUAAAGUGCAGUAUGUAUACUGUUUUGUAUGUAUUAUAUGAAUAAGGAUCGGCUAACUCCGUGCCAGCAGCCGCGGUAAUACGGAGGAUCCGAGCGUUAUCCGGAUUUAUUGGGUUUAAAGGGAGCGUAGGUGGACUGGUAAGUCAGUUGUGAAAGUUUGCGGCUCAACCGUAAAAUUGCAGUUGAUACUGUCAGUCUUGAGUACAGUAGAGGUGGGCGGAAUUCGUGGUGUAGCGGUGAAAUGCUUAGAUAUCACGAAGAACUCCGAUUGCGAAGGCAGCUCAGUGGACUGCAACUGAAACUGAUGCUCGAAAGUGUGGGUAACAAACAGGAUUAGAUACCCUGGUAGUCCACACAGUAAACGAUGAAUACUCGCUGUUUGCGAUAUACAGUAAGCGGCCAAGCGAAAGCAUUAAGUAUUCCACCUGGGGAGUACGCCGGCAACGGUGAAACUCAAAGGAAUUGACGGGGGCCCGCACAAGCGGAGGAACAUGUGGUUUAAUUCGAUGAUACGCGAGGAACCUUACCCGGGCUUAAAUUGCAGUGGAAUGAUGUGGAAACAUGUCAGUGAGCAAUCACCGCUGUGAAGGUGCUGCAUGGUUGUCGUCAGCUCGUGCCGUGAGGUGUCGGCUUAAGUGCCAUAACGAGCGCAACCCUUAUCUUUAGUUACUAACAGGUCAUGCUGAGGACUCUAGAGAGACUGCCGUCGUAAGAUGUGAGGAAGGUGGGGAUGACGUCAAAUCAGCACGGCCCUUACGUCCGGGGCUACACACGUGUUACAAUGGGGGGUACAGAAGGCAGCUAGCGGGUGACCGUAUGCUAAUCCCAAAAUCCUCUCUCAGUUCGGAUCGAAGUCUGCAACCCGACUUCGUGAAGCUGGAUUCGCUAGUAAUCGCGCAUCAGCCACGGCGCGGUGAAUACGUUCCCGGGCCUUGUACACACCGCCCGUCAAGCCAUGGGAGCCGGGGGUACCUGAAGUACGUAACCGCAAGGAUCGUCCUAGGGUAAAACUGGUGACUGGGGCU